AAUGCUUGGAAUGAAAAAUAGCAUUGAUAGCUAAUACUAAAUAUUACUACUAUUGAUAACUAAUAAUAUUAUAUUACUAACUAAAAUAUUAUUGUAUAACAAUAUGAUAUCUGUACUGAGAUUUAUUUUUUUGUUUCUAUCAAUUAUUUUAAUAACAGGCUAUUUUGUGACACCAACGAUGUCUGCCCUGUGUAAAUGUUACAGGAAAAUAAUACCUCAUAUGUGUUGGAAAAUAUGUGGAAA